rnacentral:rRNA from 1 species
GACGAACGCUGGCGGCGUGCUUAACACAUGCAAGUCGAACGGAAAGGCCCUGCUUUUGUGGGGUGCUCGAGUGGCGAACGGGUGAGUAACACGUGAGUAACCUGCCCUUGACUUUGGGAUAACUUCAGGAAACUGGGGCUAAUACCGGAUAGGAGCUCCUGCUGCAUGGUGGGGGUUGGAAAGUUUCGGCGGUUGGGGAUGGACUCGCGGCUUAUCAGCUUGUUGGUGGGGUAGUGGCUUACCAAGGCUUUGACGGGUAGCCGGCCUGAGAGGGUGACCGACCACAUUGGGACUGAGAUACGGCCCAGACUCCUACGGGAGGCAGCAGUGGGGAAUAUUGCACAAUGGGCGGGAGCCUGAUGCAGCAACGCCGCGUGCGGGAUGACGGCCUUCGGGUUGUAAACCGCUUUCGCCUGUGACGAAGCGUGAGUGACGGUAAUGGGUAAAGAAGCACCGGCUAACUACGUG